rnacentral:lncRNA from 1 species
UUUUAUUACUGCUUAUUAUAUCUGCUUUUCUGUGUGUAUAUAAACACCAAUUUUCAUUGGUCUUUGAAACUAGCUCAAAAGUUUAUUAUAAAGUUCGAGCCAACACAAAUGUAUCCUAUGUGGUGAAGUUUUCACCCAAAACCCCUAGUUUCAGACCCAAAAGCCCUAGCUAUCCAUUUCACCUGAAAUCCCUUCGUCUAUUAACCAUUCCUUGAAAGAAAGGCACCUGUUUGUUUGCGGUUUGAAAAAGGUAUGAAUGAGAUGCACGCUUGUAAUUUGUACCAUCUAUUGUCUGUGCUAGUCAGAGGAUGAUAUAAAGGCUCGGCGAGACUGAAAAGAGGAAGAUCUAUCAAUUAUGUCAAGGGACAACUCUUCAGUCUAGUUGAUUAUAAGAAUAAAUUACUCUUAUACAUUGAGUAGUUGAUAAAAAUGUUUUUUUGUCUUGUUCAUCCAUUAGAAUAUUUCUGCCAAUAACAACAAACAAUGUUGCUUGCUAUAUUAAUUCAUGACUCAAUCAAACCCCUUCUAUAAACAAAACAAACAUUCACUAUCUUGCUUUGUCAUAGAGGACACACACUCAAUAAUCAAUAUUAAAAUAAUAAUAAUACUAACAACAUCUUCUUUGCGUUUUGAACUAUUAUUUAUAGUCACAUUGUGAAUUGUACGAAGCUUAAGCCUUGAACCAACACAAAAAAGAAGAUGGAAAUAAACAAAGUUCCAGAGGUGAUACUAAAUUCAGGGAAAAAUAUGCCAAUGAUAGGUUUAGGGACAUCAACAAGUCCCUCUCCACCACAUGAAGUCCUCACCUCAAUUUUGGUUGAUGCCAUUAAAAUAGGCUACAGGCAUUUUGAUACUGCUUCUAUCUAUAAUACUGAAGAACCUCUAGGCCAAGCUGUGUCAAAAGCUUUAGAGCUAGGCCUCGUUAAAAAUCGCGAUGAACUGUUCGUUACUUCCAAGUUAUGGUGUACUGAUGCUCACCAUGACCUUGUUCUCCCAGCUCUCAAAUCCACUCUCAAGCAAGCAUAAUUCUCUUAACCUUUUUUUCUUCUUCUUUUAAGUUUGUGUAUUUUAUUUGUCUAAUAUUGUUGUUUUGGUUUUUUGGAUUGAAAUUUUUUAGAAAUCUGGGAUUGGGGUAUGUGGAUCUCUAUUUGAUUCACUGGCCAGUAAGGUUGAAACAAGACGUUGAAGGCCAUAACUUUAAAGGUGAGGAUACAAUUCCUUUUGACAUAAAAGGAACAUGGGAAUCUAUGGAAGAUUGUUAUAGAUUGGGCAUAGCAAAGUCUAUUGGUGUCAGCAACUUUGGUAUCAAAAAGCUCUCCAUGCUCUUAGAAAAUGCCGAAAUUGCUCCUGCAGUUAACCAGGUAUAUGAAUUUAGUACUACUUGAUUUGAUUCAUUAUGCCUCAGUUGCUUCAAAAUGGAAGAGCAUCAUACACGUAUCGUCAGAUAUUUCCCAAAACUUAUAGUAUCCAAUAAUUUAUUGUAAUUCUUUCGCAAAAUAUUUCCUUCGAUACUUUUUUACCAACUAAGCACGCAAUUGUCAUCUAGAUAUGAUAUAUCUUACUACUUAUAGACACAACGAGCAUCAUACAAAUUCAUAUUUGGAUUUAGGUGGAAAUGAACUCAUCAUGGCAUCAGGGGAAACUUAGAGAAUUCUGCAAGCAGAAAGGAAUCCAUGUGAGUGCAUGGUCACCACUAGGAGGCUACAAACUAAGUUGGGGUUCGCCUGCAGUGAUGGAGAAUUUGAUUCUGCGCAAAAUUGCUGAGGCUAGAAAGAAGAGUGUAGCCCAGGUGCAGUUGAUUAUUUUAUUUCAAAUUAUUUUUAAUGAUAACUAUGACCUAUGUUAAUUCAAUUUAGAUUUUAAUGAAGUUUUAAAAUAUGCAGCCCUGUUUUAUAAUUCAAGUUUUUUUUUUCAAUGGUCAAACUUUAGACUUAGUCAUAGAAGUGCUAAUGCCACAUCAUGAACCUUAGAUUGUUAUGUGAAACAAAUAAAUAGUUUUAUAUUGAAACUUCAUAAAGUCAUACAUAUACCACUGUAUUGAGAUUACUGUUACAUUGAUAGUCUUUCUCUAAUAUUGACAAAUAUUAUACAGAUAGCACUAAGAUGGAUAUACCAGCAAGGGGUAAUUCCCAUUGUGAAGAGCUUCAACAAGGAGAGGAUGAAACAAAACAUUGAAAUAUUUGAUUGGGAAUUGAACCAAGAAGAAUUAGACAAAAUUAAUCAGAUUCCUCAAUGCAGACUGCUAAAGGCAGAAAUGUUUGUAUCUGAUAAUGGACCUUACAAGUCAUUGGAAGAGCUGUGGGAUGGCGACCCUUAAGCGAAUUCUUGUUUAAAUAUUCGAUGGGAUCAAUGCAAGUGUAUGUACUGAAUAAAUUAUUGUUUAAAUUCCUUAUGCAAGUGAAAUUUUAACUUUGAUUAAUAUCGUUAAUUCCUUAGUAUCGUUAAUUCCUUAGCUGACAUUAAAUAAGAGAAAACACUAAGAAGGAUUUAGUUACUAUUCAUGAACUAGAGAAUCAAUGGUAUGCUAGUUUAUUCUUUUCAUGUGUAUCUUUAGCUGAUUAAGCUUUUACGUCGAUUGGAUAAAUGACUUAAGAAUUUUUUAUGGAGUGGUGAUAUUUCCAGAAGGAAAAUUCUGUCCUGUUUCUUUUGCAGACCCUCGGCUUACCAUGGGAGGUGGGUGGCCUUGACCUGCGUUCUUCCACUACGUGAAAUAAGGGAUUUAGCCUCAGUCAUUUGGGAUCAGUCGCACCUGACUAACGUCAAGCAACAAAUUAUGCGCUAUUUCCCAUCACUCAAAUGUAGAAUAGCGCCUACAACAAAUACGUGGUAUGUAUUAGCCAAAAAAUUGGUUCGAGCCAACACAAAUGUAUCCUAUGUGGUGAAGUUUUCACCCAAAACCCCUAGUUUCAGACCCAAAAGCCCUAGCUAUCCAUUUCACCUGAAAUCCCUUCGUUUAUUAACCGUUCCUUCAAAGAAAGGUACCCCUAGUUCAACACAAAUGUAUGAAUGAGAUGCAUGCUUGUAAUCUGUGCCAUCUA